rnacentral:rRNA from 1 species
UAACGACUCUCGGCAACGGAUAUCUCGGCUCUCGCAUCGAUGAAGAACGUAGCGAACUGCGAUACUUGGUGUGAAUUGCAGAAUCCCGUGAACCAUCGAGUCUUUGAACGCAAGUUGCGCCCGAAACCUUUGGUCGAGGGCACGUUUGCCUGNGUGUCA